CACUACGUUCUCUGACUGCUCACGGAAUAUUAGGAGGACGAGGAAGAGGGAAAUUUGAAGCAGCCACCACGUCGACGUCUGCGCGCGGAUUGACUUGCCGACGUAAACACCUGCUGCCCUUGAAAAGCGCUCGACUCCGGACGAUCUAGCUAUUAGCACGGAAUCUCCGUUCUGCAGCUGGACAAUGAAGCUGAUGGUGACCCUGAUUGCUUUUGCCAUUGUUGGCGUAUUGCUUCAUAACAGUUCAGCUGCACCGGCAGGCCAGCUCGCCGGAGCGUCGCCUGAGGAAGCUGAACGCACCGUUCGUUACAACAAUGACGCUGUAGCCCGUGUAUCUGUCGCUUGUGUGAACAACAUUUGCACCGUGUCGCAAUUGAAGAAAUAGAUGCCAGCCUUAAAAAAGUUACGCUUGGUUGCAACGCAGCCUUGCGUAACUGCUGCUCAAUUUUCGAAGCGGAAGAUGAUUUUACUGCAGCGCUGCCUCAAACGACCACGUGUGCAAUGAAAUUGUCGACUGCACUCUGCAGGUGGUGGUGAUAGAAUAAAUUGGUUUUCAAAAACUGUAAACAAA